UUCCAUGUACCUUUGGGACUUGCCUGCUGUGGCAACCUCCCGUUCUAGCCAGUGAAGAGCAGAUUCUUGUUUAUUGGCAAAGCUGUCACCAUUUAAUUGAUAUUGGUUUCUUUUUUUCUGUGUUUU
ensembl:snoRNA Gm24918 predicted gene, 24918